UACGGAGGGGGCUAGCGUUGUUCGGAAUUACUGGGCGUAAAGCGCGCGUAGGCGGCUUUGCAAGUCAGAGGUGAAAUCCCGGGGCUCAACUCCGGAACUGCCUUUGAAACUGCAUCGCUUGAAUCCGGGAGAGGUGAGUGGAAUUCCGAGUGUAGAGGUGAAAUUCGUAGAUAUUCGGAAGAACACCAGUGGCGAAGGCGGCUCACUGGACCGGCAUUGACGCUGAGGUGCGAAAGCGUGGGGAGCAAACAGG
rnacentral:rRNA from 1 species